rnacentral:rRNA from 1 species
AUUGAACGCUGGCGGCAUGCUUAACACAUGCAAGUGGAACGGUAACAGGCCCUUCGGGGUGCUGACGAGUGGCGGACGGGUGAGUAAUGCUUAGGGAUCUGCCUAGUAGUGGGGGAUAACCCGGGAAACUCGGGCUAAUACCGCAUACGCCCUACAGGGGAAAGCGGGGGACUUUCGGGCCUCGCGCUAUUAGAUGAGCCUAAGUCCGAUUAGCUAGUUGGUAGGGUAAUGGCCUACCAAGGCGACGAUCGGUAGCUGGUCUGAGAGGACGACCAGCCACACUGGACUGAGACACGGCCCAGACUCCUACGGGA